rnacentral:rRNA from 1 species
CCUACGGGCGGCAGCAGUGGGGAAUAUUGGACAAUGGGCGAAAGCCUGAUCCAGCCAUGCCGCGUGUGUGAAGAAGGCCUUCGGGUUGUAAAGCACUUUCAGUGGGGAAGAAAGCCUUGGGGCUAAUACCCUCGAGGAAGGACAUCACCCACAGAAGAAGCGCCGGCUAACUCCGUGCCAGCAGCCGCGGUAAUACGGAGGGUGCGAGCGUUAAUCGGAAUUACUGGGCGUAAAGCGCGCGUAGGCGGUCUGAUAAGCCGGUUGUGAAAGCCCCGGGCUCAACCUGGGAACGGCAUCCGGAACUGUCAGGCUAGAGUGCAGGAGAGGAAGGUAGAAUUCCCGGUGUAGCGGUGAAAUGCGUAGAGAUCGGGAGGAAUACCAGUGGCGAAGGCGGUCUUCUGGACUGACACUGACGCUGAGGUGCGAAAGCGUGGGUAGCAAACAGGAUUAGAUACCCCUGUAGUC